rnacentral:rRNA from 1 species
UACGUAGGGACCGAGCGUUGUCCGGAUUCAUUGGGCGUAAAGAGCUCGUAGGCGGCCACUCAAGUCGAAUGUGAAACCUCGAGGCUUAACCUCGAGCCUGCAUUCGAUACUGGGCGGCUAGAGUCUGGUAGGGGGAUCUGGAAUUCCUGGUGUAGCGGUGGAAUGCGCAGAUAUCAGGAGGAACACCGGUGGCGAAGGCGGGAUCCUGGGCCAGUACUGACGCUGAGGAGCGAAAAGCGUGGGGGAGCAAACAGG